UUACGAAAGUUUUCGUACUUGUAAGUUAUUUUCAAUAAUGGGACAUUCGAUUCAACGAUUGACUCCGCUGGGCAUGAUUUACACGAUUAUAAUUAUUUAGAAAUUAAAUUUUAUAAUUUUUCAAUAUUAUUUACUAAGUGAUCAAAGGGUCUUAAAAAUGACUAUUUUAACGACCGAUGUGGCACAUUUGUAAGUUCAACGGUAUAGAAAAAUUCAAAUUACAUAAAACUUUAAUAAAAAAUUCUACUUAAUAUUAAGACUGGAACAAUACUUUUCUUUUAAAAUUUGAGUCUUUUAUCACUAUUUUUUAUGAGAUUUUUAUUUGCAGUAGUUCAUUUUAAGGCUACUCGCUCAUUAGAAAAAUAAAGCAAAAAAUUAUAAAAUUUGAUUUCUAAAUAAUUUUAAUAGUGUAGAUCAUACCCAACAGCCGACCGUCGAAUCAGACAUCUUAUUGUUGAAAAUAACUUACAAACACGAAAAACUUGGUAAUGCCAAGUGCUUGCAAGUUUUCCACCGUUAGAUUUAUCAAGACUUCUAUUCUUUUAGAGGAUAAUAGCUGGACUCAUACAGAAUCCAGCUAUCAUCAUAUAUAUAUAUAUAGAGCCCGGCUACUAUACUCUUAUGAGUACGAUUGCCCUCAUACUCAUAAGUUGUUUUCAAUGAUAGAGCUUCUGAAUCGAUGAUCCAUACCGUUAAACAUUAUUUAGAGCAUUUAAAAUUUUUAGAAAUCAAAUUUCAUAAUUUUUCGACAUCAUUUACCUUACGAUCAAAAGCUCACAAAAUUGACAAUUUUUCAUGGCUGGUAUGGAAUACUUGCUAGUUUAACGGUGUAAAAGAAUUGGAAUAUGUUGAAUUUUUGAUAGAAAAUUAUAUUCACUACCUAGAUAAAGAUCAAUAAUUCCGAUCUUAAAUUAAAGGAUCCGAUUAUCUAUUUUUAAGACGUCGUUCGAUUUUGACCGUUCAUUUUAUGUCCGUUUGAUGGACUUUAUUAUGAUUUCGAAAAAUUACAAAAUUUAUUUUCUGUAAGUUUCAAAUACUCUAGAUCAUAUUUAACAGAAUGGAUCGUCGAUUCGGAAGCCCCAUCAUUGAAAAUAAUUUAUGAGUACGAAGGGCCCAAUACUCAUAAGAGUUAUAGUAGCCCUAAUAUAUAUAUAUAUAUAUAUAUAUAUAUAGANAGAGAGAGAGAGAGAGAGAGUUGGGCUAGAAUAUUAUUAAUAGUAUUUUCCUCCAUUUGUCAAGCUUUUAGCUUUUAAAGCAAUUCUUUUGAUUAUUUCUUACCAUUGGAUUAAAUAUUAUAAAACAGUGAGGACCACUCAACCUUAGAGAGACCAUUCAACUAUAACACCCCAAUAGUCCCAUAUCGGAUGGAAAACUAAUUCUGAUUAGAAUAUAUGAGGCCUAUACGCUAGUAAUAAUAAUUUGGCUUAAACAUUUUGGGCUGAUGGUUUGGGCCCAACAAGUUAUUAUUACUAGUGGGUUGGGUCAUUACAUUUCGUAUCAGAGCCAAUUAGCAGCUAGAAGUGUCAGAGUUAAGUGCUAUGCGGGACAACAUGCUACACCAACGAAUUUAGUGGGAGCCACCUCUUAAACCCGUAGAAGCCACUUCUAAAAUCUCACAUCGUCUGUUAAUUUUGGUCAUGAUCUGUCUGUUUGUGAUCUAGUUUGGACCCGACUCAUAAGAGUAUAGUAGUCGGACUCAUGUAUAUAUACUCUUAUGAGUAGGACUACUAUACUCUUAUAAGUAUAGAAUCCUUCGUACUCAUAAGUUAUUUUUAAUGAUGGAACUUCCGAAUCAGUGAUCUACGCCGUUUAAUAUGAUCUAGAGUAUUUGAAACUUUUAAAAAAUAAAUUUCAGAAUUUUUCGAAAUCAUAAUAAAGUUGAUGAAGCAGGCAUAAAAUGGACCAUGAAAAUCGUACGACGUUCUAAAAAUGGAUAAUCGGAACUUUCAAUUUAAGAUCGGAAUUAUUAAUCUUUAUCUCACCGGUGAAUAAAAUUUUCUAUCAAAUAUUCAAUUAAAACAAUUUCGAUAAUUCUAAUAUUUUUUAAAAAAAUAAUUGAACAAAACUCAUUAAUUACAUGUACACUUUACAAGAAACUAAAUCCUAAAUAAAAAUCAAAAGAUAAUAUUUAUUAUUAUUUUGCUCUAUAAAAACUAGUUGAGUGCAAAGCUAGCAUUUAACUCUCUUCUAAUUAACUUGAGUAGAGUUAUAAAAGUUUCAGGUAAGGCCAUUUGCAUCAAUUUACUUGUGUGGAGAGUCAACUAUAAUCUAUAACUCAAUAUGAUUUUUCAAUAUAAUAGCUGAUAUGGCAAGUCCUUAUUUUUUUGAACUUUUCUAUUUUUUUUUCUUUUUAUAAGUAGACCUCUCUCUCUUCCCUCCUUUCACCGUACAUCUCUUCAUCUCUCCCCUAUCUCACCGUAUGUUUCCUUUAUCUCCCCUUUAUCCCACCGUAUAUCCCUUCAUCUUCAACCCGCUCUUUCAAGAAAAUUCCCGUCCUCCCAUCUCCCUCUCUCUCUUCCACCAACCCAUAUCUGUUCUCUCCUUCCUUUUUUUUAGGUUUCAAAUUAUUAUUAAUAAUAAUUUUUAACUACUAAUUUUUAUAAUUUUGAUUUGAUUUAAUAUAGAGAAGAAGUAAAUGAUAAUGAAUUUAAGAGCUAUGAAUCGAAUUCGCUUCGAGUAAGAUUUUAUAUUUUUAUGAAUUAAAAAAAAAAAAUUUCUUUCUCAAAUUUUUUUUUUCUUCUAAUUUUAUUUUAUUUU
rnacentral:lncRNA from 1 species